CAAAUGCAUAAUGAUCUCACCUCAAAUUAAGCCCUCUUACUGAUUACUUAAUGAUGAGCAAAGAUCUGAUGUUCUUG
ensembl:snoRNA SNORD81 Small nucleolar RNA SNORD81